rnacentral:rRNA from 1 species
GAUGAGCGCUGGCGGCGUGCCUAAUACAUGCAAGUCGAGCGAACAGACGAGGAGCUUGCUCCUCUGACGUUAGCGGCGGACGGGUGAGUAACACGUGGAUAACCUACCUAUAAGACUGGGAUAACUUCGGGAAACCGGAGCUAAUACCGGAUAAUAUAUUGAACCGCAUGGUUCAAUAGUGAAAGACGGUUUUGCUGUCACUUAUAGCUGGAUCCGCGCCGCAUUAGCUAGUUGGUAAGGUAACGGCUUACCAAGGCAACGAUGCGUAGCCGACCUGAGAGGGUGGUCGGCCACACUGGAACUGAGACACGGUCCAGACUCCUACGGGAGGCAGCAGUAGGGAAUCUUCCGCAAUGGGCGAAAGCCUGACGGAGCAACGCCGCGUGAGUGAUGAAGGUCUUCGGAGCGUAAAACUCUGUUAUUAGGGAAGAACAAAUGUGUAAGUAACUAUGCACGUCUUGACGGUACCUAAUCAGAAAGCCACGGCUAACUACGUG